GAUGAACGCUGGCGGCGUGACUAAUACAUGCGAGUCGAGCGAACGGACGAGAAGCUUGCUUCUCUGAUGUUAGCGGCGGACGGGUGAGUAACACGUGGAUAACCUACCUAUAAGACUGGGAUAACUUCGGGAAACCGGAGCUAAUACCGGAUAAUAUUUUGAACCGCAUGGUUCAAAAGUGAAAGACGGUCUUGCUGUCACUUAUAGAUGGAUCCGCGCUGCAUUAGCUAGUUGGUAAGGUAACGGCUUACCAAGGCAACGAUGCAUAGCCGACCUGAGAGGGUGAUCGGCCACACUGGAACUGAGACACGGUCCAGACUCCUACGGGAGGCAGCAGUAGGGAAUCUUCCGCAAUGGGCGAAAGCCUGACGGAGCAACGCCGCGUGAGUGAUGAAGGUCUUCGGAUCGUAAAACUCUGUUAUUAGGGAAGAACAUAUGUGUAAGUAACUGUGCACAUCCUGACGGUACCUAAUCAGAAAGCCACGGCUAACUACGUG
rnacentral:rRNA from 1 species